GACGAACUGUCCAAACGUUGUUCGGAAUCACUGGGCUUAAAGGGCGCGUAGGCGGUCGAUCAAGUCAGGGGUGAAAUCCUGCAGCUUAACUGUAGAAGUGCCUCUGAUACUGAUCGUCUUGAGGGAGGUAGGGGUGUGCGGAACUUCCAGUGGAGCGGUGAAAUGCGUUGAUAUUGGAAGGAACGCCGGUGGCGAAAGCGGCGCACUGGACCUCUUCUGACGCUGAGGCGCGAAAGCUAGGGGAGCAAACGGG
rnacentral:rRNA from 1 species